ACACUACUUAAAAAGGAGGAAUGUGUUCCUUAUUCUGCCAACACACCAAUACGUCAAAGAGUUUCUUCGUCCAACAUCUGGUCGUCCUUCGUCGCUCCCUUGCGCUCGCCCCGCACGCACAGCUAAAACUGGGCCAGGCCCAACUAAACCCAACUAACCCUAUUUGCUCCCCUAUCUCUAACCAUGGAGGCAGAGAGGUUCACCUGCGCACCCCUGACCACCAACACCGCCGGCUCCCCCUCUGGAUCCCCGUCUCCACCGGCGCCCCCUGGAUCCCCGUCUCCACCGGCGUCCCCUUUAUCCCCAACACCAUUGUCGCCCCUUUGAUCUCCGUCUCCACCGCCGCCCCCUUGAUCCCCAACACCAUCGCCUUACCCUGCCCGCUCUCUAGAUCCCCAUCUCCAUCGGCGCCCCUUUGAUCUCCGUCUCCACCGCCCCCUUGAUCCACAACAUCAUCGCCUCAACCUGCCCGAGGCACCGCACACACCCUAUUUGAAGGCUUGAAUCGAGUUUGCCUGCCUGGGUUCUUCGGAGGCCGUCGCGGUAGUGACGAGGUUGUCAUUGAUUUGCGGGGAGGUGUGCGACAAGGACGGCGCCACGGCCUCCACCGGCUUCCAUGGAGUCGCCAUCUCGUGUGUUUCCGCGGCCCUUGAGGCAUCCUCUUUUGAGGAUGACGGUGCAGCUUUGGAGAUGUUUGGCCAAGCCAUUCCCAACCUGGAUCUGAUUUCCAGCCAUGCUUGGUCUGCAUCCAUGCCUGAUUCAAGAUAUAUCUUUGAAUAACUAAAGUUCUAGAAAGACUGGAUGCGAAUUUUUAUAUCACAGGUAAGCGCAGACAACUUCACGUAUCAAACUGAAGCCUCUCCACAUGUAGUAUAAUUAGCAGUAUCUUAUGCAGUAACAAAUGUAUAAUACAUCAGUUUGGAUUGUAUUACAGCCAUGCUUUUUUCGGCAUCAACCUACUUGCUUCACCUGUGAUGUUUGGCGAUUGGAUGCAAAGCUGGGCACAGGUAAGAAAGACGCACCAUUUGUGGCCUUUGUAUUGCCCUGCACCUUUGCAAAUGAUGAUUGAAAGAAUAGAUGCAUUUCCGGUUAAAUCAUUACAAUCGCCAAACUGUUAAAGAAUCGUGCUAUUUAUUAAAAAUAACCCAAUUGUCAAAAAUGUAUUAUCUAUUUAAGAACCUGGAACAACUAAAUGAUUAUUUGAACCUGAACUAAAAUCAUUUUAUGUGCAAUAUGGUUGUUAUUUAUUUUGUCAUCUUUGGCAUUAUAGUUGCUAUUUAUUUUGUGGCACCAAAAUUCAUGCUAUUAUGUAGCUUUUGAUGGCUAGCUCACAUCUCUUCCAUCUAGAGGGAUUCUGUGCUCCAGUCGUCGCUACCGUGGCCUCACUAUACUGCCGCCGCGCAAGGAAACCCUAGCCGCAUCGAGCUUGCAUUGACGCGCCCGCCUCCGAUGCACUCCGCAUCCACAGCUGCCACCUCGAGGUCAGCCUCAGGUGGAUAGCCUACCUGUAGGUGGUUCGGCUGCGGAGCUUCACUCAAGGUUGACAUCGCCGAGGAGCCCCCAAUUCCUUGCCUGGUUCUCGGAUGCGGAGGAUGGAGGACGGAACCAUACGCAAAGCCGCAAGGUGGAAUUCGUUGAUGAUGCAACUGCCAGUGGCGACGCGGAGGAUGCUGACCGUCUGCCAAUGCUGGUGGGCAUCUCACAUGGCGCCACCGUCUCCAGUGAAGACCUCCGCCUCCUCCUCGCCAUCCUCUUCUGGGACCAUUUCAACACCUCCAAUCUGCCGCGCCACCACCCCAGUACCGCCACACCACCACGGCACCACCUAGAGGACCUACUUUGCCUCCCUAUCUUCUCAUAAGGUAGCCGGGUGUCCCCCUUUUUUGCAUUGAGAACCGGUUAGUGAUUGUAACUCCAAAUUCUAUAAAGUUUGUCAAGCAUCUAAACAUGAAUCUGCAGUUACUUACAGUUUAUUAUCUUUGCUCUUAUCACUUUAUGAUAACAUGGAUUGGCGUGUGAGAUCUGUUUCUACAUUACAACAAGUUUUUGAAUUUUAUACAUAUGUUACUCUAAUAUCACUAGGUUUUUCUGAAGUAGCUGACUUAAGUCUGGUAAGAUAUAUUCAUAUGUUCAUGAAUUGAGGGUAUUACUUUACUCACUAAAUUCUGGAGCUCAUUCUUUCUUUAUUCUAGCAACUGAAUGAUAAAAUGAUGUAUUUAUGUAUUUAUACUAAUGUAGAGGAUCAAAUUUUUUACUAUAGUUUCAUUAAAGGUUCAUGAUAUACUCUUAGUCGACAUGACAUGAGUUUUGUGUUUUUGCACUUUUUGCACUUCUCCAAUCAUCCGCUUUAAAACCAUAAAAUCCAUUUAGGAUUUUAAAAUGCUUUACUAAUGGUACCUUGAUGUGAAAGUGUUUGCUUCAUGAAUCUUUUGCUCUGAAGUGCUACCGUUAUUUUACAGAUUUUGUUAUAUUGCAGGAAUUGAGUUAUUUCAAAUCCGUAGUAUAUGUGAAGGAAAGUAUUGCAAGGCUUCCCAAUGUGAACAGGGUAUUUGAUUCUAUCAAAAAAAGAAGGCUUGGCGGACAGUCAAUACCACUCCAUGGCAAUGCUCUUCAGAAGGGUAUUACUUUAGUCACUAAAUUUGGGACCUCCUUUGUUUAUUCUAACAACUGGAUGAUAAAAUCAUCUACGUACGUAUUUGUAGUGAUCUUUUUCACUAAAGCUUCAUGUUUUUACUCUUAGUCAGCAUGGCAUGAGUUUCUCUUUCUUUGCACUUUCAGUACUUCUCCAAUCAUCAGUUCUGAAACCAUAAAACUCCAUUUUUCCUAAAUAUGCGACGUUUUGGGAGUUCAAAUAUUUAUGAACGGAGUGUGCUAAUUAAGAAUUGUUGAGUUCAAGUUAUGUCUGAAUCUAGGAUCAAUGGGUCUGUGCCCACAUAACUUGUGUGAUAAAUUGCUUGCUUGUGUUAUCUCUUUUGACUUUCUUCAUCUUCUUUUGAGAGAAAUAUUUGAAUUUCUCUCUACAUAAUUACUAUAAACAGUGCUAAAAUCCUAUUCACAAAAAAAGCCUAGAAAGAACCCUUCGACUGAGGUUUUGCUGUACAUUCAAUUAUAGAGUAUGCUCGUGUAGUGGGAGAGUUUUCAUAAUGCUUAAUAUAAUUUGUUAUUUUGUAUUAUAUUUAUGUUACUUUCUAAGUUACAAUAAUUGUUUCAUGCUCCGCUCAUCUAUCAAUGUGUUCUGAAAGAAGAUGUAUUUUAAUUAUUCCAAAACUUGAGAAUAAAAAUAUCACUACUGUUUUUUUUGCGGGAAAAUAUCACUACUGUUUUCUGAUCAACUUGCUGGGUAAUGGUAAGAUGGAUGGUUUCAAGGAAAAUAUGAAAGAACUGAUGUGCUGCCAAGUUGUUAAAAUUUUAGUCUGGGACAAUGAAAAAUGUAUGCAUGUCCAGAGGCAGAAUCAAAGACAAACCCCAAUCAGAUAUUAUCAGAUAGAAAAGUAGAAAUGUACUCUAGAUGAAACAUUCGGAAGACAUCAUCUAGGCUUAGUUUCAGAGGAGCGGACCAAAAAAAUUGGAGCUCCUUCUUUGUUUAUUCUAGCAACUGGAUUAUAAAAUUAUACUCGUAUAUAUUUAUGUAUUUGUAGUGAUGUUUAGCAGGAAAUUGUUACUGUUGUUUUACUAAAGCUUCAUGCUCUUACUCUUAGUCGGCAUGGCAUGAGUUUCUCUGUUUUUACACUUUCAGAACUUCUCCAAUCAUCAGCCCUGAAACCAUAAACUCCAUUUAGGAUUUUGUAAUACUUUACUAAUGAUUUCAUGGAGCAGUUGCACAGCGUUCCGCAGGUCGCAUCCGGCCUACCACCAAGGCAUCCUCACAUCGAGAUGUUGUCCGGGGGAUGUGCCCACGAGGCUGGGUCUUUGUGUCCUUCCUCAACCUCAGCAUUGACGCGACUUGACCUGGACGUUGUCAAACCGAGCUCUGAUGAUACCAACAACGACUGGAAGCAUCCGGUGACGAGAUGAGUAUGCUUCUCGUGAUGUGUAUGCACAUGUGCCUUCGCUGCACUGAACUCGUUCUGCAUAUAUGUGCUUGCAAGAAAGGGCAACUAAUAUGUUUCUAUUUGUUAGAGAGCUCUGAAUAAGAUUAUUAUUUCGUCCUCUUAUAGAAUUUGCUCUCCUUACUCUUUGAUGCUUUCAUGAUUAAUAAUGUCUCUUCAUGAUUAUGUUUACAUACGAUGGAUGCGUCAAUGAAAAUUUUCAGCUGAAGCUCCUGGUCCUCAAAGGUUACUGCUCUUUUUCAUAGGGACAUUGAUUCUUUCAAGAUAUAAUUGCUUGGAAACUGGGAACUUUGUAGAUCGUUUUUUUUCCUUCAAAAUGGAGGGGGUACCCCUGGCCUCUGCAUCGACUUUGUAGAUCGGGAUGUCUUUGGCGUGGCACUAGACACAAAAUAAAAUCUAGACAAUCUCUAGGUGUUGAAGAAAUGACGCAAUCAGGUGAACACUGCUCAAAAGGUCAAGACCAAUGAAAGGUCUUCCUGUUACUUGCGCAGGAGGAAGCGAGCUCCAGCAGCGGCGGAGCACAGGUUCCAGUAGCGGUCGCGAGAGGCGGCGAGCUCCAGCAGCAGCGGCGGAGCGAGGGAGGACUCCGGCUCGCCAGCCCGCUGGCGCGAGAGGUUGCCGGUGCCAAGGGCAGGAGGCCCGCUGGCGCGAGGCUGCAAGGAGCGCAGGAUUCCGCCAGCGGGAACCUGCGAGCUCCACCGGGAGGCACGCCGGUGUGAGCCUGCGACGAGCGUGGGAGUCCGCCGUCGGGAAGAUGCGACCGCGAGCGAGACUGUCUGCCAGCGGGUGGCUGCGAUCCAUUGGGGGCUUUCCAAAAUAAGAAGGGUGAAAAUGAAAAAAUAGUUUUGAACUACACCUCCGACACCUAAAUCGUGACUGAGGGAGUAGAUUAUUUUGCAACAUUAUACGGCAAUCCCUUUCUAUCAUGGAAAUUUGCAUGUGUAUUAUUUUUACAUGUGCAGAAAAACAUUUGUAUUGUUUCCCGUGGCAAUCCAUGAGGACUGUCAAAGCUCAACUUGGCGAUAUCAGAGUCAGACAUACUACAAUUUAGCGCAGUAAGAAGCUAGGAAAUUGGAGACCUGUACAUUACCAACUCGUAAAUUACUGCAUGGUAAUGGAGUUUGUUUCGAGGCAA